rnacentral:rRNA from 1 species
CCUACGGGUGGCUGCAGUAACGAAUAUUCCGCAAUGGGCGAAAGCCUGACGGAGCAAUGCCGCGUGUGGGAUGAAGCGGCUUCGCCGUGUAAACCACUGUCAGAGAGUAGAAACACUGAUCGCUCUCAGAGGAAGGGGCGGCUAACCCUGUGCCAGCAGCCGCGGUAAUACAGGGGCCCCAAGCGUUAAUCGGAAUUACUGGGCUUAAAGGGUGCGUAGGCUGUCCCGUAAGUGCUCUGUGAAAGCCCUCGGCUCAACCGAGGAACAGCAGGGCA